rnacentral:rRNA from 1 species
CCCUUAGAUGUCCGGGGCCGCACGCGCGCUACAAUGGAUGAAUCAACGCGUCAUCCUGGCCCGAAAGGGUUGGGGAACCGCUGAACCUCAUCCGUGGUUGGGAUUGGGGUUUGUAAUUAUUCCCCAUGAACUAGGAAUUCCCAGUAAGCGCGAGUCAUAAGCUCGCGUUGAUUACGUCCCUGCCCUUUGUACACACCGCCCGUCGCUACUACCGAUUGGAUGGUUUAGUGAGAUCCUCGGAUUGGUCACGGCACGGUGGCAACACUGCGUCGGUGUGCUGAGAAGACGAUCAAACUUGAUCAUCUAGAGGAAGUAAAAGUCGUAACA